UCCUGUUUCCCUUACUUCCUGUUUCUGUGGUACCCUGGAUGGAGACCUGAGGUGAUGAAGAUCAGUGGUGUGUUAGCGGUGCUCCUCAUGGUUUUUGAGUCCAUUCAUGGUUUAGAAGAUGUGAUUAUAACCUGUAGUGAACAGUGGCUGCGGGUGAGAGUUAAAUGGCAGGUUCUCGGGAAUCACCAGGAGCCCCGGCCAUCUGAGCUGUAUCUAGGAACUCGCUGUGCUGCAACCGGAAGGCCCAUGGGUUACUAUGAGUUUUUUUAUUCUAUCUCUCAAUGUGGAAUCAGAGCUGAAGUACGCUUAUGGGGUAUUCUCAUUGAAAGUUCAAUCAAUUAUGAACCGGAAAAUUCAGAUGUCUGGGGUUUCUUACCAAUAUCGUGCUAUAUUCAAAGAUCAUUUACAUUAAAUUAUUCGAAAAAGGUAAAAGACGAUAAGGGCGACGCGUCCAAAAAACCAGCCAGAAAGAAGAGUUCAAGGUUACUUGAAGCAAAAAACACAGGGACCCGCCCAGAAGGGGCAGUAAGCAGUAUUGCAGGACCAUAUCCAAUUUCUCCCUCCCGGUUAAGUAUGGAAAUUUAUCUGUGAAUGCAGGAGGGAGAGGCAGCCACAGUGACCCCGGAACUGUGGCUCCUGAGGACUGUCCUGCCUGUUGGAGAAUGGGCUAAUGCCUAUGGAUUUCAUUUUCUACCUGUUUUAAAAUUACCAUUUUAAAUUUCCUCUGCAGUCUGUAUUUAUGAACAUUUUGGUGUGUGUGGGGGCAAGAGCUUCUUCAGAGUUUAAGCUUGUAAUGAAGGAAUUUUUUAAAAUAAAGAUUUGAAA
rnacentral:lncRNA from 1 species